rnacentral:lncRNA from 1 species
CCGGCUUCAGCGCUCCGUGCGUCCGGCCCAGGGACGCCUGGUUUCCCCCCAAGCGAACCGGGAUGGGAAGUGACUUCAAUGAGAUUGAACUUCAGCUGGAUUGAAAGAGAGGCUAGAAGUUCCGCUUGCCAGCAGCCUCCUUAGUAGAGCGGAAUGAGUAAUACCCACACGGUGCUUGUCUCACUUCCCCAUCCGCACCCGGCCCUCACCUGCUGUCACCUCGGCCUCCCACACCCGGUCCGCGCUCCCCGCCCUCUUCCUCGCGUAGAACCGUGGGAUCCUAGGUGGCAGGACUCAGAGCUAAGGUAUCCACAGGCCAUGAAUUCCUUCCUAAAUGAGCGGUCAUCGCCGUGCAGGACCUUAAGGCAAGAAGCAUCGGCUGACAGAUGUGAUCUCUGAACCUGAUAGAUUGCUGAUUUUAUCUUAUUUUAUCCUUGACUUGGUACAAGUUUUGGGAUUUCUGAAAAGACCAUACAGAUAACCACAAAUAUCAAGAAAGUCGUCUUCAGUAUUAAGUAGAAUUUAGAUUUAGGUUUCCUUCCUGCUUCCCACCUCCUUCGAAUAAGGAAACGUCUUUGGGACCAACUUUAUGGAAUAAAUAAGCUGAGCUGUAUUUCAAGUAAUAUAGUUAUAAAUUAACAAUGUAGCAGUUAUUGAUAGAGAAAUUGAGAAAACUGAAACGUGACCGGAGUAUUGGAAAUAACGUAGUACAUCACCUAGCACAAUGACACAUAGUAGGUGCUCAAUAAAUUUAUGCUUAUAAUUUUUGUCACUUCUAUGGCAGGAUUUUUUUAUUAGGUUAAAAUUAUCUUUUAAACACCUUCCGGAAUUUUAGAAUAUUCAUUAAUAAUGUCUUCAAACCUUUCAACUGAAAUAAAUUUACAGCUGAAGUCUGAUGAUUUAAAGUUAGAAAGUUUAAUCUUGAAUAUAAAUGAACAUUUUCUCUCCCACAUUUUCUUGGGCAUUUUGAGAAGUAAAUGCGUUAUUUAUUGGUCCAUGAAAUGUGACUGUAAAUAUUCUUUGCUAUACAUUAUGUCUAUAUAUCUGCAUUCAUCCUCAAUGCCAAAACUAGAAUCAUUAGUCUUAAUGAUCAUUUUAAGUACAGGCAGUCCUCGCUUUCCUUGAUACCAUGUUAACCGAAACUUGUGUAUGUCAACACGGUGUCCUUGCUUUGCUUGGUUAAGUGUGAGUUCUUCCUCCCUUUUUUUAAGAGUUGUACAAUGUUUUUCAGUCGCCUACCGAAUCAGGUCAUAGACUAUGGAAUUGACCCCACCCCACCAACAUUUUUACAGCUACCCUGAUUUCUGACCAGAAAGGAAAAAAAAACUUUCCAGCUCUAUCACACAUUUUACCUACUCUUAAACUUAGGAGGUAUUACAAAUAGCAUUUUCUCAUGUUCUCUUUCUGGCCUGUACCUCCCUGCUAAGCUUCCUUCAGUGUUCAUCCUCACCUCAUAGAGAGAUGAAGUGAAGAGACAAACAGAAGUCAUUUUCUUCCUUACUUUAGUGGUUUCUGGUUUAGUUAGUUUGGGCCAAACUGUGGACAAGUACCUUUUCAGGUAACUUUUUUUUCUUAUUUCUAUGUCCUCAACACCUAGUGGAGUACGUAGCCAAUAGUAGAUGCUUAAUAAACAUUUCUUAAAUUAAUAUUGUUGACCUUUUCUGACCCUGUUCUUGACAGUAAGGUACAUAAUCUGCCUUCAUCCCUUUAGUCCUUAGGAACAGAUAAAGUCAUGGAUAUGAAAGUGAUCACUGUCAUUAAUAUCCACAUUAAAAUUGCUCUUGAUUUUAGUUUCUCCAUAAUCAUUUUCCCUAAACAAUGAACUCUGUUCACCUUUUUUUUUAAAAUAUGCACAGUGAAUAUUACUGGUAGCCCAAAUCUUCUAACAUAAAAUUUCCAUUUUGUAAAAGCUUCUGAUAAGCAUAUAUGUUAUGAAUUGAAUGUUUGAUUAUUAUACUUUAAUAUUCUUGAAAAUAUUGAUACCUGGACUGGAAAGAAAACAGACAAAAGUAAAUCUCAGAAUAAAUUACUGCUUUAAACAUGAUGCAUGUGUGACGGUUGCUUCUUAUCUCUUAAAUACAGCUAAAGAAUAGGGGAAAAAUCUUUAGAAUCAAUUUAUA